UGUGGUCCCUGUCCCCACAACCAGCAGGACUGGCAGGUCAUGGAUGCUCUUGAGGGGGCAAGGAGAGCAUAUCCUGAAUACCUUAAUUCUGAUGGAAAAAAAAAAGAAGAAAGAAAGAAAGAAAAAGCUAAAGAUAGAAAUCAAGGCUACAUAGCAUUGAAGAAAUGAAGCAAUGCUUGUAAAUUCCAAAGGAAAACAUUUUCCAACCCAGAAUUCCAUAUCCAGCCAAAUGAUUAAUUGAACAUAAAUGAAGACCAUCUUGCUUCAGAUGUUUUCUGACUGUGCACCCUUCCCAGGAAGCUACAGGGAGUGGUGCACUAAUUAAGAAUCUAUCAAAGGAACUGGGGAAAUGGCUCAACUGGUAGAACAUCAGACUUUCAUGCCUGAGGCUCCUGGUUCAAUGGCCAGGGCUGCAUGUAUCAGAGUGGUGUUCUGACUUCUCUCUCUCCUUUCAGCCUCAACUAAAACACUCUCUUUCAGUGGAUGUGGUGUACACCUUGUAAUCUUACAAUCUUGCAACCCACUGUUAAUUAAAAAUAUAAAUAAAAAGAGAAAAGAAGAAAAAUCAAAUGCUGUUAUCUCU